rnacentral:misc_RNA from 1 species
GAAAUGCGAUAAGUAGUGUGAAUUGCAGAAUUCAGUGAAUCAUCGAAUCUUUGAACGCACAUUGCGCCCCUUGGUAUUUCAUGGGGCAUGCCUGUUCGAGCGUCAUUUGUACCCCCAAGCUCUGCUUGGUGUUGGGUGUUUGUCCCGUCUCCGCGCGUGGACUCGCCCCAAAGUGAUUGGCAGCCGGCGUACUGGUCCCGGAGCGCAGCACAUGUCGCGCAAACGAGUGCCUUGGUACGGCGGCGUCCAUAAGCCCCUCUCUCACGCUCUUGACCUCGGAUCAGGUAGGGAUACCCGCUGAACUUAAGC